rnacentral:rRNA from 1 species
AGUGGAUGGGGAGCAACCUAGUUGUGCGUGUGUAAAGGUAGUGCCAAGAAAAGCGGUGAUCAUGAUGAAAAUCAAUUCCCGGUACCCGAAACCGACACAGGUGGGCAAGUAGAGAAUACUAAGGGGCGCGAGGUAACUCUCUCCAAGGAACUCGGCAAAAUGACCCCGUAACUUAGGGAGAAGGGGUGCCACCGAGAGGUGGUCGCAGUGAAGAGGCCCAGGCGACUGUUUAGCAAAAACAUAGGUCUCUGCAAACUCGAAAGAGGAGGUAUAGGGGCUGACGCCUGCCCAGUGCCGGAAGGUUAAAGAAGUUGGUCAGUCUUAGGAUGAAGCUAGCGACUGAAGCCCCGGUGAACGGCGGCCGUAACUAUAACGGUCCUAAGGUAGCGAAAUUCCUUGUCGGGUAAGUUCCGACCCGCACGAAAGGCGUAACGAUCUGGGCGCUGUCUCGGAGAGAGGCUCGGCGAAAUAGGAUUGUCUGUGAAGAUACGGACUACCUGCAUUUGGACAGAAAGACCCUAUGAAGCUUUACUAUAGCUUGGAAUUGUGUUCGGGCUUCCUGUGCGCAGGAUAGGUGGGAGGCGUAGAAGGUAUUCUUGUGGGGAUACUGGAGCCAACGGUGAGAUACCACUCUCAGGAGGCUAGAAUUCUAACUUAAUUAAGGACAGUUUCAGGUGGGUAGUUUGACUGGGGCGGUCGCCUCCAAAAAGGUAACGGAGGCGUACAAAGGUUCCCUCAGACUGGUUGGAAAUCAGUCGAAGAGUGCAAAGGCAGAAGGGAGCUUGACUGCGAGAAGCACAGUUCGAGCAGGGUGGAAACACGGUCUUAGUGAUCCGACGGUGCUGUGUGGAAGGGCCGUCGCUCAACGGAUAAAAGUUACUCUAGGAUAACAGGCUGAUCUCCCCCAAGAGUUCACAUCGACGGGGAGGUUUGGCACCUCGAUGUCGGCUCAUCGCAACCUGGGGCGGAAGUACGUCCCAAGGGUUGGGCUGUUCGCCCAUUAAAGCGGUACGUGAGCUGGGUUCAGAACGUCGUGAGACAGUUCGGUCCAUAUCCGAUGUAGGCGUGAGAAUAUUGAGAGGAGCCUUCCUUAGUACGAGAGGACCGGGAAGGACGCACCGCUGGUGUACCUGUUAUGAUGCCAAUUGUAAACGCAGGGUAGCCAAGUGCGGAGAGGAUAACCGCUGAAAGCAUCUAAGUGGGAAGCCCACCUCAAGAUGAGUAUUCUGGUGUAAGGUCACGGGAAGACGACCCGUAAAUAGGCACGAGGUGGAAGUGCAGAGAUGUAUGAAGCCGAAGUGUACUAAUAGACCGUCGGCUUGACC